GUAAGUCACAAGCGUUGUCCGGAAUUACUGGGUGUAAAGGGAGCGCAGGCGGGAAGACAAGUUGGAAGUGAAAUCUAUGGGCUCAACCCAUAAACUGCUUUCAAAACUGUUUUUCUUGAGUAGUGCAGAGGUAGGCGGAAUUCCCGGUGUAGCGGUGGAAUGCGUAGAUAUCGGGAGGAACACCAGUGGCGAAGGCGGCCUACUGGGCACCAACUGACGCUGAGGCUCGAAAGUGUGGGUAGCAAACAGGAUUAGAUACCCUGGUAGUCCACACCGUAAACGAUGAUUACUAGGUGUUGGAGGAUUGACCCCUUCAGUGCCGCAGUUAACACAAUAAGUAAUCCACCUGGGGAGUACGACCGCAAGGUUG
rnacentral:rRNA from 1 species